UUAGAUACAUUUAAAGACCUAAUGAAGCUAAGAAACAAAUGAAGGAAUGUAAGGACAACGAUCUGAAACAGUUUGGAAAUGGUGCUCAGAUUUCAUGUCUUGAGAGAGAGAUACUAAGGAAAGCAAAGCAAUUAAAAAUCUGAAAGCUUCUCAGAAGAGCUGGUAAAAACAGCUAUUUUGCUCUUUGCUGUGCUAUACUGAUAUCAAUCAGAAUUUUGUAUUGUUGGACUAGGAAACAGGUAAGAAAGUCUUUGAUUAAUUUUUUGAUACUGAAAUCUUUACAUCUGUGAAAGAAUAUUGCACCAUCUGCAGACUACAUUCUUGGAACCAUUAACAGUAAUAAAUGCUACUGUGUUCUUCAUGUGGCAACUCCAUCCCAGAUAACGUGACUUGCAAUUCACAUUUAUUGUGUGACUUAGCAGUGGAUUACUACAAUCUCCUAUGUUCUGUGGAGUUUGAAUUGCAUUUUGAAGUUCAAGCGCAGGGCAAAUAACUGUAUGGUUCUGAGAAAAACGAAUAUAUUUGACUCUUGUUUCUUAAUUUGUGAACAUUUCAAAUUCUGUGUGCAAUCACUGUGAGGGACUGUUAACUUUGGCUUAUUAAUUCAUAGUUGUCAAUGUUUUUCUAUGUAAUUUUUUAGUCUUGCUGCAGCCCUACAGAGUAGUUAGCAAUAAGUUUGUUGUUAGAGAAGGCAAAUUCUUCUUAGCUGGAAAAAAAGUAUCAGUGACUUCAUGUAGGAUGUUUUUAUGUGUAUUGCAUUGACUGAAAACAGUCUGCUGCAAAACACAGCUAUGCUUAUAGGUGACAAUGUUUAUAAAACAAUGUUCGAAAUAACACAGUCACUCAAUGCAUCCAAGAGAAAGCUGCAAUCUACUAGCAACUUCCCAGCAUUUAGCUUUCAUGUCCUUUCUUUCCUAGAUCACAAAUUUCUGCAGAGAUUACAGGAUCCAUUUUCAUGUAUCUCAUGUCGCCCACUUCCAAAAAGGUAACUUGUAUGAUUCCAGCUCUACAAUACAUCGUUUUCAAGGGCGCGAGCUUUACAACUGUGAAUCAUAAGGUAAGAUAUAAGCAUGAAGAUUUUAUUGCAACCAGAUCACUUUUUUUUUUUUUUUUUAAGUGGUAAGACUGAUUUGAACUGGUCUGCAGUUUAGUUCCUCAGCUGCUGAAGUUUAAAAAAUUGUUUGUUAAAUAUAUUCAUUCUUGUGUUUUCAAAUACAAUUAUUUUUUAUUACUUAUUUAUUUAUUAUACAGGUGCAUUUAUACUGGUACACAUUUCACCAAGUGAUAGGACAAGGACAAAUAGCCUCAAGUUGCACCAGGGGAAGUUUAGGUAGGAUAUUAGGAGAAAUUUCUUUACUGAAAAUGUUGUAUGGCAUUGGAAUAGGCCGUCCAGGGAAGUGAUUGAGUCACUAUCCCUGUGGGUCUUCAAGAAAGGUGUAGAUUUGAAACUUAGUAGCAUGGUUUAGUGGUGGACUUCAGUACUAGGUUAAAGGUUGGACUAGAUGAUCUUGCAGUUCUUUUCCAACCUGAAUGAUUCAAUGAUUCUAUGAUUUUUUUUCUCCUGCCUCCUUUUUGUAUUGCAAAUUUUUUUUGCAUAUGUGUAUACAUAUAAAUUGGGCCUGUGUGUCUGCUUUCUCUCAAUCUGUGUUCACAUCUUCUUAUUUCGAGAUCUCUUUUCUUUUUGCUCAACCUUAAUAGUUUUUAGCUGGUACUCCUUGGUAAUCCUGAACCAAGAUUGCUUUAGAAUUCUCUGCAAUAUUUGACCCACAGAAAAUAUGAAUUAUUUUACAUUAAAAUAUAUUCUUGUCCCCGAGAUCUCUGGGAAAUCUUUUAGCAUCAGAAAUGUAUUUACUAUAGUCAGUAAGUAAGAAUUUGUUCUGAACUGAGGAAUUCAGGAAGAAGACUACAUUUUGCAGCAGAGUUAUGUCUUCAUUCAAUUGUUUGUAUCCCUGUGUCUAGUCUCUAUGUACAAGUUGUUCAUUUUAUUUG
ensembl:lncRNA